GCAAACUUGGUCAUUUAGAGGAAGUAAAAGUCGUAACAAGGUUUCCGUAGGUGAACCUGCGGAAGGAUCAUUACAAAUCCACUUAUAUAUGACAACGUUGAACAAAAGGGGGAGGAUGUUGCAGUUUCUGUCACAGAAGUGCACGCCCGCCCACAUAAGACAAACUACUGUUAUCACAAUGCACAGCCUAUAUCAAACAACACAACCUAGAAACAACUUACAACAAUGGAUCUCUAGGCUCUUGCAUCGAUGAAGAACGCAGC
rnacentral:misc_RNA from 1 species